AGUGAACGCUGGCGGUAGGCCUAACACAUGCAAGUCGAACGGCAGCACAGUAAGAGCUUGCUCUUACGGGUGGCGAGUGGCGGACGGGUGAGGAAUACAUCGGAAUCUACUUUUUCGUGGGGGAUAACCUAGGGAAACUUACGCUAAUACCGCAUACGACCUACGGGUGAAAGCAGGGGAUCUUCGGACCUUGCGCGAUUGAAUGAGCCGAUGUCGGAUUAGCUAGUUGGCGGGGUAAAGGCCCACCAAGGCGGCGAUCCGUAGCUGGUCUGAGAGGAUGAUCAGCCACACUGGAACUGAGACACGGUCCAGACUCCUACGGGAGGCAGCAGUGGGGAAUAUUGGACAAUGGGCGCAAGCCUGAUCCAGCCAUACCGCGUGGGUGAAGAAGGCCUUCGGGUUGUAAAGCCCUUUUGUUGGGAAAGAAAAGCAGCAGGUUAAUACCCCGCUGUUCUGACGGUACCCAAAGAAUAAGCACCGGCUAACUUCGUG
rnacentral:rRNA from 1 species